rnacentral:rRNA from 1 species
UACGUAGGGUGCAAGCGUUGUCCGGAAUUAUUGGGCGUAAAAGAGCUCGUAGGCGGUCUGUCGCGUCUGCUGUGAAAACUCAGGGCUUAACCCUGAGCUUGCAGUGGGUACGGGCAGACUAGAGUGCGGUAGGGGAGACUGGAAUUCCGUGGUGUAGCGGUGAAAUGCGCAGAUAUCAGGAGGAACACCGGUGGCGAAGGCGGGUCUCUGGGCCGUAACUGGACGCUGGAGGAGCGAAAGCGUCGGGGGAGCGAAC